AAACAGCCCCCUACGUUUUGAUUCUUUGGCAGUUUUGGUCCCCGAAGGCAAAAAAAUAAUAAAAAAUUUGACACGUGGCACCUCACUUAGGGUGCCACGUCAGCGUUGACCGAGUCAACAAUGGACUGGGGGUCCAAAACUACUAAAGAAUCAAAACAUAGGGGGCUGUUU
rnacentral:pre_miRNA from 1 species